CCCCGCGGCAGCGCCCGGAGCAGCGCUUGGGAGCGACGGGGGCACCGCGCCCGGGCCGGGGGAGCGACCCCUGCCCAGCCGACACCCCCGACGGGGCGGGGGCCGCUCCCUUCGCUACCCGCAUUGCUGCGGAGCCGCAGGUGCGGGGCUCACCUGGGCGCGGGGCCGUGCCCGUUCGCGACCCCCUUCCCCCCCGCCCCUCCGCUCACGCGCCGAGCUGCGAGCGCUGCCGAAGUUGCUGACCGCGCUCCCCGGGGCUUGGCGUUCAAUCACGCGCGGAUGCGACAUUAGGAAACUAAAACACCGUCGCGCCCGCGGUGUCUGGAGCGGGGCCACGGCCGCCGAGGGUGAAGAUCCUGGUGAUGUGAAGGGACAUGCACAGGUGCUUUUGCCAUUCUGCUAGAAACCGCUGGAGCACAUGAAGGUUCCAGCAGCUCCACAUCUUUCUUGCAGUGAAGGGCCCAAAACUAAACACAGUGUGACCUGACCAGAAGUUGCUCUGCAAGGAACACCAAGAUGAAUGCAUCUCUGCCUGCUACUUUUUCCUGUGUUACUUAUAAG